UGAAUGAAAGACAUAAAUACCGCACUAUAAAUAGCUAAUAAAAAGUAAAUCAUCUGUCACCUCCUAGUUGUUAAAAACAGAAUAGCAGAGACGAAAUUUUUUUGCACAUAGCUAAAAUCACUUUUCCAUCUUCUAUUGCAUAACAAAAACACCUAUUUUCAUUAGUGGAAAACAGGUGUUUUUAUAUAUUUUAUCUUCUGAAAAUCCUUUUUUAGCUAUUUGU
rfam:Listeria monocytogenes EGD-e, complete genome